rnacentral:rRNA from 1 species
GAUGAACGCUGGCGGCGUGCCUAAUACAUGCAAGUCGAGCGAACAGACGAGGAGCUUGCUCCUUUGACGUUAGCGGCGGACGGGUGAGUAACACGUGGAUAACCUACCUAUAAGACUGGGAUAACUUCGGGAAACCGGAGCUAAUACCGGAUAACAUGUUGAACCGCAUGGUUCAACAGUGAAAGACGGUCUUGCUGUCACUUAUAGAUGGAUCCGCGCCGCAUUAGCUAGUUGGUAAGGUAACGGCUUACCAAGGCAACGAUGCGUAGCCGACCUGAGAGGGUGAUCGGCCACACUGGAACUGAGACACGGUCCAGACUCCUACGGGAGGCAGCAGUAGGGAAUCUUCCGCAAUGGGCGAAAGCCUGACGGAGCAACGCCGCGUGAGUGAAGAAGGUCUUCGGAUCGUAAAACUCUGUUAUUAGGGAAGAACAAAUGUGUAAGUAACUAUGCACGUCUUGACGGUACCUAAUCAGAAAGCCUCGGCUAACUACGUG